AUCCUUCUAUACAUGAAGGAUUAUGAAAUAAAAUUUCAUUCAAUGAAUUCAAGCUAAAAAUAUAGGUGGUUCAAAAAUAAAAUUAAUGAAUAUAUACGUAAUUCAACAUGUAAACGAUUACUAGUAAUUACAUAAAAAGUAAAAAGAGAAUCAAGUGAACAAGAUAGAUUUAAUACUACUUUAUGUAAAUACACUUAUAUACUUUUAGACAUAUUUAAUUUAGAUUGUACUUUUAUGUUUUUUUAUUAUUUAGGGUAAAGAGGUAAUUUCAUAGAAAGUCAAAUAUGUGAUUUGAGUUAGUUCUCGUCUAAAACU
rnacentral:lncRNA from 1 species